GAAGUUGGAGUCGCUAGUAAUCGCAGAUCAGCAACGCUGCGGUGAAUACGUUCCCGGGCCUUGUACAUACCGCCCGUCACGUCAUGAAAGUCGGUAACACCCGAAGCCGGUGGCCUAACCCCUUGUGGGAGGGAGCCGUCGAAGGUGGGAUCGGCGAUUGGGACGAAGUCGUAACAAGGUAGCCGUACCGGAAGGUGCGGCUGGAUCACCUCCUUU
rnacentral:rRNA from 1 species